rnacentral:lncRNA from 1 species
CAAAUUUGGGUGCAACUUGUGUGUGCUAGGUUUGGUGGUUGCAAGUAGUAAGUACAGAAUAAAGGUUCAAUUGAUAUGGUGUGUUAACUGUAUCAAUGAAAUUGUUGUAAGUGUGUAUUGAGAUUAUCUUGUCUUGUGUUCAUGUUUAUGAUUUGGAGAUUCAAUUGUUUUUACUUUUCUGUGUAACAAAGGAUUUGUGAAGAAGACCAAAUAAUUUCUCAAUGAUUUAAGAUUAAAAAAAUGGCCACUGGUGGUGUGUGUCUGUGUUUAGUGGGUAUGCAUUGCAAUUUGCAAGGAUAUUGAAAUCCUAACUAGACUUCAUUAAAUUGUGGGUUAAAUACUAAACUCUGUUUUGUCCAUUCCAUCAAAUUACUAUUAAAAAAUGUUUCCUUAAUAGCAAUGUGGACCGUAGGAAGACCCAGCGGAGGAGGGGGACGAGCAGGGGAAAUCGAGGGUGGUGGGCCGAUCUCCAUGGCCUCAUGGUGGCAGCUCGGACAGCUAUGGUGGUUGGGGUGGUGACUGUAACAGGAGAUGGGACAGGUCACUUGUGAGUUUUUGAAGUCAAGUCAAUUAGGAUUUUAGAUGAUUUUAAAAGACUUUAAAAAUUCUGGUGUGGUUCUAAAAUACAUACACUACCGGACAAGUAAGCUACAGCUUUUGUUCUCCAUGGGGUCCACUGGGUUUCACUAGCUUCAAUCAACUCCAUACAGUUGUGAACUUGGUUGCAAAUGCUCUGGCCGGGCUUGGCCUUUUGGAGCCCUCUCCCCCACCAAACUUUUAAGCCCAGCUCCUCCAUUACCGACUUCAGAACCCCAAAAAUAAAAAAAAUAAAAAAUUGAACUUUUACACUAUGAUGCUAUGAGAUAAGAUUUCUAGAUCCGUCCCUUUUCAAGGUACUCAUUCUUUUUCACUUCAAAUCAAUUGUACUUGUUGGAUUUUCUUUUUCUUUUUCCAUGAUUUUAUUGUUUCUUGAUGAUAAUUUUCUUGUGAUUAGUAUACGAGUUUUGCUUGUUAUUAGGGUUUAGGUUGGGUUCAGGAUUUAUACUUGGUAAAAUUCCUACACCAGUUUUUGUAGACUUCUAAUUUUCCUGAGAAAAAGUGCUAAGAGAAGUUAAAGAAUUUUCUUUAUCAACACAUAACAUUGUUUAUACUAGUUUUUGUACAUUGUUUGCUUCAUAGAAAAGAUUAUCCUCUAAAAUCCUAAUUGGCUACACAACCCCUAAGUUUUUAUAUUUUAUUGUAUAACCAUUUUUAUUAUUUCUUAACAUAAAUGUAAUAUUUUAAACAAAUAGAGUAUUCUAAUUAAUUAUAAUAGCGAUUAAAUUGCCAAUGUGGUCUAUCUAACUAAAAGAACCUUGACUUGCGGACCAUGAUCUCAUGUUAAGAAAAAGCGUUUAAAUUAAAAAUACACAUACUAAAUUAGCUAAAUGAGUACAACAAAGAGAUCAUUUCGGUAUUUAAACACUAAAUUAUUAUAGAUGGAGUUAUAUAGACCACACCAAACUCCCCCCCACCCUAAAAAAAAACUGCUAAAGUCACUCCACCAUCUAUUUUUUUUUUUGUUGGAACCCUCUAGUUUGUGAUAAUUUACAAAUAUAUAUACAUACACACCCCACUCAAAUGAAAUUUACAAAUUACUUGGAAUCCUCCAUAAUUUGUUGUACAUAAAAUGUUUAUCCUAAUUAAUUAUCAAUGUUUAUCCUAAUUAAUUAUCACUAGAUAAGAUUGAUGCCGUAAUCAUCAGCAAUAAUUGUAAGUCCUUUGGAAAGAUCUAAAAUUUAUAAACAAAUAAAAAGCAAAUUAAUAAAAAACAAAAAGAAAAAUGAAGUUAGUAAUUUUUCUUUAGAAAAACACAAACGAAGGGACCGCAGGUGUAGCUAGUGCACCACUAUUGGUCUUGUAUUGAAUCGAUACUGACUAGUCGAGAAUCUUGUGCUGAUCUAUACAAACAAUAACUGUUUUGGCUCUUUCUGCACAGGAAUUUAUAUUUUUCUUCCACCAGUACGUAAAUAAUGUUAUACACGUGUCAACCUGUAAUUUGUGUGUUAGAAAGAGAUGUGCAGCACAAGAAGAAGAAAAAAAAACAGGAGUGACUCAGGAACAGCUCUGUCAGCUAUGAAGGUGAUGAUGGUCAUGACCCUGCUGACCACCACAAGUCAUUGCAUUAACAUCAACGGUAGCAUUGUCAGCCGCGGCGGCUACUUCUCUUCUUCGAGGUGUAACGGUCUCACCGGCACGGCAUGUCGUAUUGCAUACUCCGAGUUGGACUUUGACUUGGAGUUCAUGUUGGGCUCGGAAUUCAGCAUAAGGCUCCUCGCGGAUGGCGGUUCCUACCACCCCACCGAUACAUCAAGAGAAAGGGGAAGCUCUGCGUCCUGCAACCGAUUUGGUAAGGACGAUCCCUGCCAUGGUCGGGAAAACAAAAACAUCCCACCAGGUUGCAAGGACCUCACCGAUAGGUCUUGCAACCGCCAUAAUUAGUAAGCCAAUCACUACUGGAUGGAUGGAUCCAUGCGUUAGAUCGUGUGCAAGCUUAUAAGUUAUAUAAGUGGUGUCUUUUUUUUCUUUCUGUGUACGUAGAGAGUUUGUGUUGGUACGUCUCUGCAUUUGGUUUCUCUUUUUUGUUUUCUUUUUAAAUAUUAAUGGAGGAAGAGAGAUUCGACUUCCACAGUUAAGAAGAUGGAGUUGGUUGGUUCUUCAAGUAUGGAUAUUUUGUGUUAUAUUAACCAUUUGUGAUAGAAACUCACAUCUUGACUUAAUAGACAUUUUGGGGAAAUUGGAUGGACAUUUUUUUUUUUCUCGUUUCGUUCUUGAAAACUUUUUUGAAUUAAAUUAACUGACGCAUUCUCGGAUCUUAGAAGUAUAAAUUCGUUUUUAUUUUUCAAAAAUAUUUUGUGAAAAUGAUUUAAAAACAGUUUACCAGACGGACCCUUAGAGGAGUGAAAUUAUGGGCAUCUUAUAAACACCAGAAAAUAAGUGAUACUUGGCGAUGAUUAGUCUUGUUUAAUAUAUGAAUCAAAGAUUCAUUUGACAAAUUUAAAUUCUCCCCCAAUUAUUUCAUAGUCUAUGCUCUAGGAUUUCCACGUUACUUUGGCAUUCCUUUCUCACCUAACUUGUUCACUCUGAGCACAAAAAGAUUAAAAAGCAAAACCUAUCUUUAUACUUUGCCAAUAUAUGUACACUUGUACAAUUUUAUACAAAUAAAACGCACCCAAGAACUGCAUUUGCAAAAUUAUUGUCAUUUCUAUAUUCAUGUAAAAUAUAAAAUUGUGACGUACGUCAACAACUGUAUAUACGUUACUAAAACUUAUAUAUAAUUAGACGUACGUAUGUCAAAAUACAUAGCCAUAUUAUUACUUUAUGAGUCAGCGAAGGUAUUUGGAGAUUCAAUUGUUUUUACUUUUCUGUGUAACAAAGGAUUUGAGAAGAAGAGCAAAAAAUUUGUCAAUGAUUUAGGGUUGAGAUUC